AGAAGAUAGAAGGAGGGAUAGGAAGAGAGGGAGAGGAUAUAAGAGGAGAGAUGGGGAGAGGAGGGAGGAAUAGAGAGGGAGAGAGAGAAAUAUGUUAGAUUUGCGCAAUCCUCUGAGCCAGAAGGAGAAGUCAUCAUGUUGCUCCACUCUCAGGUGGACUACAGGCCAAUUGGCCAUGCAUCAGUAGUGACAUUCAUCACAUGACUGGUACACAGCCAACGCAUUCCACCACUGGGAAGUAUGUUCUAUACUGUCCUCUUGAAGAUAGGACAUUCCGCGCUGCUCAUGAUUAAACCUUUGGGAAAAUGUAUGCUAUAUUCUACUGUUGGAGACAUUCCACACUGACCUUGGCUAACCUCCACUGGGAAAUAAUAUGUGCCGUGGGGCCUCACUAUUCUCUUCAAGGCACUCAAGGCGUAUCCUCUGAGAUACCAGCGCUAUGCUGUCCUGUUCAAGGCAUUCCACCCUGCCAAUGGCUACCUAGGAUACUGGCUCUAUCCUAUAUCCCACUGUUGAAGACAUUCCAACCUACUGAUGGGGAAACAUGUGCUUUGGGCCCCAGCUAUGCUUCUCAAGGCAUUCCACAGAGGCCGUUAUUGACCUCUGGUGUACUCACUCUCUUGUACUCCUCUAUUGAGGACAUUCCAGACAACUCAUGAUUAGCCUCUGGGAAACGUAGGCUGCGGAACUCUCCUCCUCACUAUUUGCCAGCCAACUGCCCCCUUCUAUAGCCUCCAGGGUAGACAGACACAGUGCGCUCUGAGAGAGAAUGCCGAAUUAGAAUAGUGAGAGAAUGCCGCUUAGGGUUCCACAAUGGCAGGAAUGCUGCUGUUGCGUGGCGACUAUAGCGUGCCGUUGACUGUGGUUGCCGUAGGGACUACUAGACUAUAGAGGAGACAUUGAGAUUGACUGGCUACGCUGAGCUAACCGCUAACUGCCACUGGCAGCUAACCGCCACUCUGUAGCCCCUGGGUGGGCAGGGCUAGCUGCGAUACAUUCCCAGAAUUCUCAGCCUACUCCAACUGAACUCUAAAGAGUGAAGAAAGAAAAAAACUUCUCAGAAGACUUCUCAGAGAAAUAAAGUUUGGAGCAAACAAAAAUGGGGUUGGAUGUGGCUGUGCUGGUCUACACAAAAGCUUCUGUCGUGUACCUGUAUCCAUGUAUCCUUUGACCUGUUUUUUGUGUCCCUGUAACUGAGGCCCCAUAUUCACCAUUCCAGCUCCCCUUGUUCCAUUUCCACUCUACCAGAACCCUCUCUCUCCACCCAAUUCUAUUUCCAGCCCUCACAAUCCACUAAACUGCUCCCGGCCUCCCGCCAGAGUGCUGGGAGAGUGGAAAGUUCAACCACUUUUGUUCCAUUCCCUCUCGGUCUCUCUAAGUUAUUUAAGUUAUGGUAGCAGGCGGCAGUGGAAGAGGGGGGAAAAAGAGAAUAAAAAAAACAGAGAGGAAUGGAGCAUUCGCCCUUGGGCCGCGAGCUAAAACAAGCCUCUGAUUAUACGAGUGGAGUAGAGUGGACUGGCAGCAGGGGCGUGUGGGAAUGCAGGCUUCCUGUGAUCCUGCUCACACACACACACACGCAAGCACACACACGCAAGCACACACAUACACACACAUACACAAACACACACACACACUGCCCUUUGUGCGCUGGUCCACUCAGGAAUGUCACUAGGCUAAGUAGUAAACAAGUAAAUCAAAUACCUCCACAGGGUCGUGAUGCUGGACAUUUUUAACUCCCUAUACUCGCUCUCUAGGACUUUCUCACACUGUGGAGCUCUAUGCCUGACUGGACCAUACAGUACAUACAUGGAAAGUCAGCAGCAGAACCAACAGAAAACUUGUCCUCAUGCUAUGAGAGGGACUACAAGAGAGGAGAUCCUGCUAGCAUCUGCAAAAACGAGGACAGACAACUUCAGAGUUCAGCUUAUCAGACCAGUGGACAGACCACGGUGAAGCAGCACAAGGACACACGUCUUCAGUCAGUUGCAACGCCUCUUUAGGGACUGGGAAUUGAAUCAACAUUCCUGAGUGAACUCUUAUGGGUCCCAGGUGUCUGCAUUCAUCUGCCCACGGGGCUGCAUGCCAGAGGAAGAGGAGAGAGGAGAGGAGAAGAGAAGAGGGGGAGAGGAGAGGAGAGGAGGACCGUGGAGGAGAGGAACAGGAAAAGCUGCAUGCCAGAGAGGAGAGAAGAAGAGAAGUGGAGAGGAGCAAGAAAAUGGAGAGGAGUGGGGAAUGCAUGUCAGGAGAGGAGAAGAGGAGAGGGGGAGCAGGGGGGCUGAAUGCCACAAGACAAAGGACUGAGCAGAAGAGAGAAGUAGAGGAGAGUAGCAACAGAGGAGCAGAGUUUGACCAAGACAGACCCAAGUUCAACAUGGGGGCUUCAUCCCAUAUGAAUACACUUCAACUUUAUAACAGAAGAAGCAGUUCAUUUAUUCAUGCACGCACGCACUCACAUACGCACUCGCACACACACGCACACACUCAGGCAUGCGCACACACAAACACACACACAUGCACACACACAAGCGUGCACACACCCCUGUUUGCUUUUGUUAUUAGGCUCAUUCCUAAGUGUUGAGGACAUGGUUAAGAGUUUACUCAAAGCAACAGCAAAAUGCUCCGUUUGCAUAAGUGCUCCAAAUGUCAGUGCAGGGACACAAGACUGUCCUGGAAGUGUCCCAAUGGGGUUAGCUGUCCCUGACUGACCAUGCCAGCUAUUCCUCAGUAUUAAUGGUGUGUGUGUGUGUGUGUGUGGUGUAUGCAUGUCUGGGGUGCGUGUGUGCAUGUGUGUGUGUGUGUGUGUGCGUGCGCACGCGUGUCAUGUCGGGUGUAUUUGGGGGGGAAGGGCGUCUUGUGUUUUCAGGGGGAAGACAAGGGGAGCCGUUGGGCUGUGUGUGUGUGUGUGUGUGUGUGUGUGUGUGUGUGUGUGUGUGUGUGUGUGUGUGUGUGUGUGUGUGUGUGUGUGUGUGUGAGAAAGUGAAAGGGGCCAUUGAAAGUGGGGAAUCCACAGCUGUGGGGUUACCGUGGUGAUGGCUGCGGCUCGCUCUGUCAGCUGUGCUGGUGCUUCAAGGGGCCUUCAACCAACACACGCAUGCACACACACACACACACACACACACACACACACACACACACACACACACACACACACACACUGAUAGACUAAUACACAGUCACGAACAUUCACGCUCACAUGCACAUGCCACAAACACACACCCACAUGUAGAUUCAGCACAACUGUGCACAUACAGUACCACUGAUACACACACACACACACACACACUCACACACACAUCCAAUUGAUGCACGCACACACGCACACACAUUCAAACGUUCACCCCAGCUUGACACACUCUCACACACGCACAUACCACUGACACACACUCCGGCAUCCACCCCAGACUGACACCCGCUCAGACACACACGGCCAUCUGCUUGUCUCUGGCAUCCCCCAUAGAGCAAAGCACAAAGGAGAGCUUAGGGAGACACGCAGAGAUGGAGGGAGGGAGAGAAGGAGAGAGAGAGAAAGAGAAGGGGGGGGAGACCGAGACAGAAAAUUCUCCCCUUUUUUCAAUGUUUUCUAUGAUAAACAACAACUCACACUACUGCAGACCAUGUUUUUUUUCUAACGAUGGAUUCUUGGGACACGGCUUAAAUGGGUGUUAAGGAGGACGGGACAGGGGGAAAACGAGUCCUAUAAUCUUUAUGACUUCCAAUUUAGUGUUUCUGUGCUACGACAAGCACGCGGGGGCCAAAUUAGCUUUGGCUCUUCGUGAGUCUUCUGGUCUGACAUUUGAGGAACGACAUUAUCACAUUACAUUUAAAAUGUGCUGUCUGCAUUUUACAUUGCAUUACAAGUCUGCUUGGCCUCUCCUCUCCUCUCCUCGGCACAGUGACAGUUUGAGAGAGUGAGAAAGAGAGAGAGAGAGAGAGAGAGAGAGAGAGAGAUGUGCUUACUUGUACAUGCCACACUACUUGAAAGAAACUUCAGUCAGUCAGUCACUGGGAACGCGCUCUCUUUUUUUACGCUUCAUUUUUCCUCUUUCUUUUUUUCUCCGAAUGAAAUCAAAAUCUGUGUGAUCCCUCCAUUGCACACAUUCCUGCAGGACUAGCGGGCUAAUCUCUCUGGAAUGCAGCAUUUGGCAAGAUCCAAAAACCACCACAGUAUGAUUGACUGUGUAUCCACACACACACACAC